UUUUUCGGUUAUUGUAAUUUUAUAUAAGUUUUUUGUAACUAAUAUAUUUUUUGUACUGAUUAUUAUUAUUUAGUCUAAACAUUUAUUAACUAUUUAGUCUAAACAUUUAUUAAUUAGUAUAAAAUAUUAUUUAGUCUAAUAUUUCCAAAAAUUAUUUAUUGUAUUUUUUCUUCCAAUUAAUAAAUGUUUAGACUAAAUAAUAUUUUCUUUCAAUUAAAAAUAUUUAUUGUACUGGUAUAGUUAUGUAUUUUAUUUAAUAUUAUUUGAGAAUUUUUUUUUAUUUAUACUAAUUAAAAGAGAGAGAAAAAUAUUUUUUGUAUUUUUUCUUCCAAUUUUAUCCUUUAUCAAUUGUUACAAUUACUCAAUUAUUAAAUUAAAAAAAAACUCAUUUAUUAAUUAUGUAACCUCCAUGAACACUACAAAUAACUUCCUCCAACACAUCAACUAUACUAAAUAACUUCCUCCUACACCACUAUAUAUGAUAACUGUAUAUUUCAAAAAUAAAAAUAUUUCUUUCUUUCUCUCUCUUUCUUUCUCUCUCCACGCCAAAGUUAGGAGAAAAAUUCAUAACCAUACCAACCCCACAUUUGCCUCCUUCCUCUUUUACUAUAUCUCUC
rnacentral:lncRNA from 1 species